UACGUAGGGUGCAAGCAUUAAUCGGAUUUAUUGGGCGUAAAGGGCGCGUAGGCGGGCCUGUAAGUCAGAUGUGAAAGCCCGGGGCUCAACCCCGGAACAGCAUUUGAGACUGCAGAACUAGAGGGUAGGCGGAGAAAACGGAAUUCCACAAGUAGCGGUGAAAUGCGUAGAUAUGUGGAAGAACACCGGUGGCGAAGGCGGUUUUCUAGCUUAUACCUGACGCUAAAGCGCGAAAGCAAGGGGAUCAAACAGG
rnacentral:rRNA from 1 species